AGGGUUGAUAGGAUUGGCUGCAGCAACGGUAGGUUUGACUUCGGAAGCAGCACAGCAUCUUGAGGUAACAUUACUAAAAUGUCUGAAGUAAUGAACAAAGUUUUUGAACUUUUUCUCCAGUUCCAUCUUAUUCUUUUCUCUACUAUAAAUGCUUUAAGCUCAUUAUAAAAUUUAGUCAAGAAAAGAAGAAUGGCCCAAUGGAAUAUGUAAUGACUGUGGACCGUAGUUCAGCUGAGUUUGGUUCCACCAAAUUAGUAUGAGUGCAUAGGUCAACUAACAUAAAGAAGAAAGAGUUCACUCAGCGAUAGCCUUUGGGUUCUGAACUCCAUGAUGGGAAGGAGUACCAUUGUGGAUUUAUAGUGAUCUAUAAAUUUUCCCUAAAAUGAUCUGUUCGUUUCAUGUUUGAGUAUUACGAAUCACUUUGUGCCGACUUGUUGCCAUCAAUUUUGUGGCCUGAUACACGAAUGACUAGAGUGUAUUUCUGUACUGGUGGAGAUCACAAACAUAAUUUAUCACCGUGAACUUAAUUUUGAUUUUGCACUUGAUUCCAUCUUGCAUCUAAUUUGUGUAGCCACUGAUAUGUAUUUAUUUAUUGGUGAGUUGUUUGGAUUAUUAAAUAUGUUUCCUCUUAUUGGGACAAGUUGACUAGACUAUUAGCUAUUCAUGAAUUUUAUAACUGGUUCUUAAUAAGGUAGUAAAUGAAGUUUAUACGAAUUCUGAACAUAUUUUUAAGCACAGGCAGGGGCUUUAAAGACUUUUAAUUGAAAAAAAUAAAAUAAAAUUGAGAUCAUAUUUGGGUGGGUUUAGAAAAAAUGAUAAGCUGCUUCUGUGUAAAAAGGGUGAAGUUAUGGAAUUGAUUUCAUGUUUGGAUAAGUUGUACUCGUAAGUAUAUUAAGCCCAUUUAUGUUUAUGAAUCUAGUUACUUUUAAGCUAACUCAAUAUGACUAUUAACCCAAAUGCCCUUUAUGUUUGGGAAUUUAAUUACUUUUAAGGGUAAAAUGGUCUUUUCCUUGGUCAAAGAAAAAUUAAGCACUUGCGGAAAGGUGAUGGGUGACAAAGCAUCGGCCAAUUGUGGAUUCAAAGCAUGGGUUCUUGUUUGAACACGACUUGUAUUGUUACGUGUCUGCAGGUUUGUAUAUUACUGAUGCAUGCAACUUUACUCUAAUUAAAAAAAGGGGAAAAAAAAAAUGAAAAGAAGAAAAGAAAGAGAAAAGCUGCAGGCUCUGGGACCAAAUCAGACCAAUAGACAACAAACAUAAAUGUAGGUAAAAGGAGAAGAUAAUAAACAGAAAAAUGAAAAAAAGAGAAAAGGUAAGUGCCUGUCGUUGCUGCUGUUGCUUCAUUGUCAUUGCUUCUAUGGUGAAGUUGUUGUUUGCUGCUGCCAUCACCUAGUCUCUGGAGAUAAUUCUGCUAUUUAGAUAUUUUUAUUUUUAUUAUUUAUUUUUAUUUUUUAAAUUUUCUGUUGCUUUGGGUUGUGUUUUUCCCAUUUUUUAUUCUUUUACAAAUGGAUGGUUUUGUUUAAUUAUGUUUAGCAAGUGUUUCCGUUUCUUUCAGAAUUUAUAUAUUGUAUUUAAAACUCUGCCAUGCCUUUCACAUUGGAAUAAUGAAUUUUAAGUUUAUUGGAGCCCAUCUCACAAAAAGAUCAGCAACUCACUUAUUAAAUGAGGAGUGCACGCUAGUGAUUCAAUGGUAGUAGAUUACCAUAUUUUAACUCCGUAGAGUUUAAAUGAUAUAAUAACACGUUUCAAGCCGAGUGAUAAUUUGAAUUUUUUAAAACAUUGGUUUCUUGAUUAGGUCAAGUUUGAGAAUCUUUUCUAUCUUCAUAGUUCAUGAUAUGCCAUUCUACCGUUUUUAACUUAUGACCAGAAAGAUGGACAUAAAUGCUUGACAACUCUACAGAAAAUUUGAAAAGUAGAGGAUAAAGAGCAAAUUUGAAAACAAUAUUAGAGAGAUACAAAUCAUGACCUUCACCUUUCAGAUUGGGCAAAAAACGCAACAUUUUAUGGUUUGUGAUUGUGAUUGUGCCUAUGUGGGAGUGGGAGAGCUAUUAGAUGCUAUAAUUGAGUGUAGAAAAAAUUGAUUCCGAAUAUUGGGAUUUAUCAUAUAAGUUUGAAGGACUACAGACAGGGACGUUGCCAGAAGUUCGGUAUCGUGGGGUCAAAAAUUGAAAUGAAUUUUUUAUUUUUAAACUACAUAUCAUUAAUAAAGAUAAGUCUAUACACUAUUUAAGCUUGUUCUCUCGAAAAAGAUGGCACUGCUUAGCCAAUCCUCCAACAACAUUCACCACUUUAUUCACUAGAGUAAAGAAUGUUUCAAUAUCUGUACGUUUGUUUGCCAUAGCUACAAGAGUUAGUUGCAACUGAUGAGCAAAACAAUGAAGAUAAAAUGAGCUAAAAAUUUAUUACAGAAUAAUUUACCUGUACAAUUAGCGGAUUUAUAGGAAUUUAAUUAGCUAGUUUCCUUAAUUAGAUAAAUUAGAUUUGUAUAUAUACGUGUAAUCUCUUUUGGAAUGAAAAUAAGAGAAAAUAUUGUUCUAAUUUCUCUGUUAUCUUAUAUGGUAUCAGAGACGGAAAUUUGGUUCUGGUGAUUAGCUCCGGCAGGUGUGUGAACCGGUUGCGAUCCCCUUCAUCUCUUGGACAGUGACGCAGCUGUUUCUUCCCUGCAAUCCCUUGUAUCUCUUAGACAGUGACGCGGCCAUCUCUUUUUGGCGUCUUUGUGUGAGGAAUCGAUGCACUCCAACGUUCUGUGUGUGAGAUCGACGUGUGUCUCACUCUUGUUUCCCGGCAACGGCUCGUUUCUCUAUUGGUGGUUGCCGUUUGAAGUAGUUUCCCAUAGUUUUGGUUGACGUCGCCAAAUUUGAAGGAGGUUGCCGGCAUCGCUGUGAGCUAAAGGUACGGCAAUUCUGCUCCCUUUUUUCGUGUUAAAUUGGUUCUCAGUGGCUAUCUUCGAUUCAGUGAGUGAUUUGUUCUGAGGAUCUUCCGUUCAGUCAGUAACUUCUUGGGCUGAGGGUUGUUUUAAUUGUUUAAUUGGGUUGGGGCGUGUGUUUGGGCCUAAUUUGUUGGGUUGUUCUAAUUUAUUGUCGGAUUAUUUCACUUAGGCCUUGAAAAUUGCUUUUGGGCCUAAUUUAUUAGGUUGUUCUGAUUAUUUCAUUUGAGCCGUGAGAAUUGCUUUCGACCUGGAUUAUUUGUAUUAUUGUCUAUCGUUUUAUUGAAAAAUGGCCGAGUCCAAGAGAUUUGUGAGUGAGAUGGUUCCAGUAAUUUCCAAAAUCACUGAACAAAAAUUGAAUGGAACUAAUUAUCUGGAGUGGAGUAAGACAGGGUCUAUUUACGAAGCAUAGACAAAGAUGAUCACUUAACUAAAGAUCUGCCUAAAGAUGACACCAAACAAAGUUGGCUGAGAGAAGAUGCAUAGCUCUUUUUGCAAAUCAGAAAUUUUAUCGACAGUGAGGUAAUUGGUUUAAUUACUCACUGUGAAUUUGUAAAAGAACUAAUGGAUUAUCUGGAGUUUUUGUAUUCUGGUAAAGGAAAUGUGUCGAGAAUGUAUGAAGUCUACAAGGCUUUUUAUCGGAAGCCAAGUCUCUCACAGCUUACUUCAUGGACUUCAAAAGGACGUAUGAAGAACUUAAUGUGCUAUUGCCAUUCAACACUGUUGUCAAAGUACAACAGAUUCGGAGGGAACAAAUGGCUGUUAUGAGCUUUCUGGUUGGUCUUCCUUUCAAACUCGAGACUUCCAAAUCUCAAAUUCUCUCUAGUUCUGAAAUCCCCUCUCUUCAAGAAGUAUUCAGUAGAGUUUUGCGCACUGAAAAUGCCUUACAUUUUCAAAUUGAUGUUCUUGUUAACAAACGAGGGGGAAUGGUUAUGGAAGGAGAGUCAAGAAGGGAAUCAAGGCUAUUGAUAACCGUAAUAAUGAUUCAGGUAGUAAAAGAAGCAUUGGGUCAUCCUAAAUGGAAAAAUGCGAUGCUUGAGGAGAUACAUGCUUUAGAUGAAAAUCACACAUGAGAAUUGGUAGAUUUACCUAAAGGCAAGAAAGCUGUGGGUGAAAAUGGGUCUUCGCUGUCAAAGUCAAUCCGGAUGGUUCUGUGGCAAGACUUAAAGCUCGACUUGUUGCAAAAGGAUAUGCUCAGACCUAUGGAGUGGAUUAUUUAGAUACCUUCUCCCUAGUCGCCAAACUCACCUCUGUUCGCCUAUUUAUAUUUAUCACUGCUUCUCAAGAUUGACCAUUAUACCAGUUGGACAUCAAGAAUGCGUUCCUUCAUGGUGAUCUCUAGGAAGAGGAAUAUAUGGAGCAAACACCUGGGUUUGUCGCUUAGGGGGAGUAUGAGAAAGUUUGUCACCUGAAGAAAUCUUUGUAUGGUCUAAAGCAGAGUCCCUGUGCUUGGUUUGACAAGUUUAGUGAGGUAGGUCAGGAGUUUGAACUGAAGAAGAGCAAGUGUACUCAGUCUUCUACAGUCAACAGCUGGUGUUAUUCUUCUUGUUGUUUACGUUGAUGACAUUGUCAUUACAGGAGAUGAUUGUGCAGGUAUCUCUUCUCUCAAGCUAUUUCUACAUACCAAGUUUCUCACAAAAGACUUGGGCUAGCUAAAAUACUUUCUGGGAGUGGAAGUGACAAGAAGCAAAAAGGGAAUCUUCUUGUCUCAAAGAAAGUAUGUACUUGAUUUGACAAAAAUCGGAAAGAUGGGAGCCACUGCAUGACACCAAUGAUUCCCAAUGUACAUCGUACAAAAGAUGAGGGUGACUUCUUUGAUGAUCCAGAAAAGUACAGGAGAUUAGUUGGGAAAUUAAAUUAUCUCAUAGUAACUCGUCCAGAUAUUGCUCAUACAGUGUGUAGUCAGCUAAUUUAUGUCUACACCUACAAUAAAACAUUGGGCUGCCUUAGAACAAAUAUUGUACUACUUGAAAAGAGCUCUUGGUCUUGGCAUAGUGUAUAACAAUCACGGACACGCUUGCAUUGAGUGUUUUGCAGAUGCUGAUUGGGCUAGAUCCAAAAUUGAUAGACGGUCCACUACGGGAUAUUGUGUCUUUGUUGGUGGAAACCUGAUAGGUACCACCCUAGAGUGCUGUAGAUUUUAAUAAAAAAAACAAGGAAAUCGACUGUGAAAAGAGACUUGUGUUACUGAAGAACGUUCCAAUUACAGCAGCAAAGAAAACAGAAUCGAAUUUAAAGAUGACCGUUAGAGGUCGUAUGACAACCACCCUUACUGAAAUAUCUUUUUUGCAUGCCCUUCUAUUCCCAACCCUUUUUCUAUUUAUAGACUACUACUAACCGAAUUGCCUCCUCACUCUUUACUCGUAACAGAAUUUGUUAUUUGUUACUGCCCCUUUCCCCUCUUCCCUAUUCUUCUAGAAUAGGUAUGCUUAAUUGGGGGCUUAUCAAUUACACCCCCCCCCCUCGCAAUUCAGCCACCUUGUCCUCAAGGUGGAAGGUAGGAAAUUGAUGAGCAAUGAGACUGUGAGGUUCCCAGGUUGCUUCCAGUGGUGAUAAUCCUUUCCACUGAAUCAACACUUCCAAGCCUUCUUUUACUGCCCUUACGCCAAUCACAGUUUCUGGUUCCACUAGCAAUUCCCAGUCAGCCCCCAAGUUGUGAGGUAAGGGAGAUGCCAGCUGAUGUUGCCCCAUGGCCUUUUUUAGUUGUGAAACAUGAAACACCGGAUGAAUUUGUGUCUCAGGUGGUAAUUUCAAACGAUAAGCAACCUUUCCCACCUUAUUUAUAACUGUAAACGGUCCAUAAUAACGGGGGGCAAGUUUUUCGUUGACACGGUGAGCCAGAGUCUUGCGACGAUAGGGGCGCAUUUUCAAGUACACCUUGUCUCCAACCGAAAAUUCCAGUGCCCUCCUGCUCUUGUCAGCCGAGAUUUUCAUCUGCUGCUGGGCACGGUGUAAAUGUACUCUGAGUUCCUCCAAAAGUUUAUCCCUUUCGGCUAACUGCUGGUCCAAGGAUGACACUAUAGUUGACCCUUUCUCAAAACGCAGCAGAGGUGGAGGGUCUCUUCCAUACACUAUGUGAAAAGGGGUACGUUGUGCUCCCACAUGGAAUGAGGUAUUGUAAGAAUACUCCGCCCAGGGUAAGAAGUGAUGCCACUCCUUUGGUCGGACUGAAGUAAAGCAACGUAAAUAUGUUUCCACCCCUCUAUUUACCACCUCCGUCUGUCCAUCCGUUUGGGGAUGAUAGGCUGAGCUAUGUCUGAGUUUAGUCCCCUGUAGUCGAAACAGCUCACACCAAAACUUGCUUAAGAAUACCUUGUCUCAGUCGGAAAUGAUUGAGUGAGGAAUCCCAUGAAGCCGAACCACUUCCUUUACAAAGGCAGUUGCCACAGAUGGUGCUGUGUAUGGGUGUUUGAGACCAAUGAAGUGUGCAUACUUGCUCAAGCGAUCAACUACUACCAAGAUUGAAUCAAACCCGUCCGACUUUGGUAGUCCUUCUAUGAAGUCCAUAGACACGUCUUCCCAUAUUUUCUCUGGUAUAGGAAGAGGCUGCAACAGCCCGGCAGGAGCCAAGGUGGAGUACUUAUGCUGUUGGCAAACUUCACAUGCGGCCACGUAUGCUCUUAUGUCCUUUUUCAUCCCAAUCCAAUGGAAAGUUGCUGCCACCCUUUUGAAGGUUUUAAGGAAACCCCCAUGUCCCCCAAUCUUACUGUCAUGUCUAUCUUGUAGAACCACUAAGAUAAGUGAUGAUUCACGAGGUAAAGUGAUUCUGUCUUUGUAUAACAAAACUCCCUGAAUGUAGGUAUAACCUGGAUAAGACGACGGAUCAGCCUUUAUAGCAGUUAUAAUGCGGCUCAACAUCAGAUCUUCUUCUGCAGCCUUUGUCACUUCCUCUAUCUGCAGGCCACCAGAAAUGCUAAGGGUCAACAAGGUCGUGGCUGCUCCUUUUCUUGACAGCGCAUCUGCUGCCCUGUUCUCCAGCCCGGCCUUGUAUUUUAUAGCCAUGUCAAACCCCAACAACUUCGUGAGCCAUUUUUGAUAUUCUACGUUUACUAAGCGCUGUUCAAGAAGGAAUUUGAGACUCUUCUGGUCUGUCCGGACUACAAAUUGUCUUCCCAGCAAAUAAUGCCUCCACUUCUGUACAGCCAACACAAUUGCCAUUAGUUCCUUUUCAUAUAUUGAUUUAUUCUGGCUCCUCGGUGGAAGGACUUGACUAAAAUAAGCAAUGGGUUUCUAAUUUUGCAUCAGGACAGCCCCUACUCCUUGUCCAGAUGCAUCCGUCUCAAUCACGAAAGGCUGUGAGAAAUCUGGAAGAGCUAACACCGGAACCCUCACCAUUGCCUGCUUUAAUUUUGUAAAUGCUGCUUCUGCCGCCUCAUUCCACCCAAAAUUAUCCUUCUUCAAUUGCUGAGUUAAUGGCCAUGCUAUCUUACCAUAGGAUUCGACAAAGCGUCGGUAGUACCCUGUCAACCUUAGGAAGCCUCUUAAUUCCUUCAAGUUUUUUGGCCGCGGCCAUUCUUUCAUUGCCGCUACUUUAGACUCAUCCGCCGCUACUCCUUUCCCUGAAAUAAUAUGCCCCAGAUGCUCUAUCUCCUUCUGCCCAAAUAAACACUUCUUUUUGUUCGCAUAAAGCUGAUUUUCCACUAGGAUCUGUAGAACCAUACGUAGGUGACUCCUGUGCUCCACCUCGGUUCGGCUAUAGACUAGGAUGUCAUCGAAGAAGACCAACACACAUAUCCUAAGCAGCUCUCUGAAGAUGGAAUUCAUCAAGGAUUGAAAAGUGGCUGGUGCAUUCAUCAAACCAAAAGGCAUGACGAGAAAUUCGUAAUGGCCUUCAUGGGUCCGAAAAGCAGUUUUCGGAAUGUCCUCUGCUUUUACUCGGAUUUGAUGGUAUCCGGACUUAAGGUCAAUCUUUGAGAACACCGUCGCCACAUUCAACUCAUCCAGCAGCUCAUCAAUAACCGGGAUGGGAAAUUUGUCGGGGACAGUAGCUUUGUUUAAUGCUCGGUAAUCCACGCAAAAUCUCCAACUUCCAUCUUUUUUCCUGACCAAAAGCACAGGACUUGAAAACGGACUUGUGCUUCGCUGUAUAAUUCUUGCUGCCAACAUUUCCCGCACCAGCUGUUCGAUUUCAUUCUUUUGGAAAUGCGGGUACCGAUAAGGCCUCACAUUCACCGGCGCAGCACCGGGUUUCAAGAUGAUUGCAUGAUCUUGAGAUCUCUUAGGAGGCAGCUGGGUGACAUCCUUGAAGACUAGUUGAAAUUCCUCCAACAUUUCGGUAAUAAUUGCUGCUGGUUGCGGCUGAGUAAAUUUUGAGUCGAUGGUAAUGGUUCCCAAUUCCAGCAAAAGUCCUUCUCCCUGUUCCUUAAAGGCUUUCCACAUCGUUUUUAGUGACACGGGAGUCCUGCUGAGGCUGGGGUCCCCCUGCAAUGUUAUUUUCGUCCCAGCCAUGUCGAAAGACAUGGUUAGACUCUUCCAAUCCACUUGCGUCCUUCCCAACUUCUGGAGCCACUGCAUCCCCAGAAUAAUAUCAGAGCUGCCCAACUCCAGGGGUAAGAAAUCUUCCUCUAUCACUAGCCCUGGUAGUUUCAAGGACACCCUUCGACAAAUGCCUUCCCCUUUUACUGUCAUGCCGGUUCCCAUGAUCACUCCGUAUCCUGCCGUGCCCGACAGUGGCAACCCCAGCUGUUGAACCAUGUCAGCUGAAAUAAAAUUGUGCGAUGCCCCACUGUCCACCAGUACUACCACCUCCCACUGUCCAAGCCUUCCCCGCAAUUUCAUGGUGCCCGGCGCUGUGAGGCCCACCACCGAAUUUAUUGACAACUCCACUGGCUGUCCCGGGCCCAUGGCGUCAGUGUCGGCGAAAGCUAGGUCCCCAUCGGCCUCGACAUCGCCGGCGUCGAGUUCGCCGUUCUGCCUAGUUUCCUUUCGUUCAUCGCUCCCUUCAAACUCGUGAGUCAGGAGGACUUGUAACUCUUUAUUCCUGCACCGGUGCCCGACCGUGAACCGUUCAUCACACUUAAAACACAAACCCUUCUCCUUCUUAAUUUGCAUCUCUGAAUCUGAAAGGCGUUUGAAGGCUGCUGGAUUUUUGGGGACAAAAUUAGGGCGCUGUGGAAGUAUAUUUACUGGGAUCGUGUUUCUAUUUUGAUUGAGUGUGCCUUGGGGCGGGUUGGGGCUCUGAUAUGGAAUACUUUUGGGCUUCGUUGGACCGAGGCCUUGGUGGGUAAUUAGGUUCCGGUCCUCAACCAUUUGGGCCACCUCCAUAAUCUGCUCUAGGCCCAAAGGUCUCAGUAAUUGAACUUCGGCCCUGAUUUCCGCCCUGAGUCCAUUAAGAAAGCUGCAUUCCAUCACCUCCUCUGAGAUUCCCAAUAAUGGCGAGGCUAGAGUUUCAAAUCGCCGACGGUACUCCCUUACCGUCGUAGUUUGCCGGAGAGACAAGAACUGGGCACAUAAGGAUCCCUCCUGUGAGGGUCGGAAUCGCCUGAGCAAGUGUGCCUUCAGAUCUUCCCACGCUUUCAUCGGUCUCCGCCGCUCUUCCCACUGGAACCAGGCUAAUGCCUCGCCGUCGAAACACACCGCCGCGGCUUCCAGCUUCUCCUCCUCAGAGAGUCGAUUGACACUGAAGUAUCUUUCCACCCUGAACACCCAUCCGUCUGGAUCGUUUCCUUCAAAUACUGGCAUCUCCAAUCGCCGUAGGCAUGGCUCCCCUCUCCAUUCACUACCAGCACUUCCACCGACGCAUUGGUUACUGCUGGGUCGCGACUGUGUUAACCCAGACUCGGCAGACAAUGUUGGUGACUUCUCACUGGUUAUUCCCUUCUCCUUUCGUUCCUUCUUCUGAGUAUCCCAUUUCCGCAUGAGUAUUUCGAACCUUUCUGUCAUCCCCGCAUGCAUUAAUCUGAAUUCUGAUUGUAGUGAACCCAAUCCUGCCUGAAGUUCCUGAUAAUGGUUCUCCACCCUUUGUUCCAGUUCACCCACGCGAUCUGUCAACGUCAUGGUUGUACGGCUCUGAUACUAAAUUGAUAGGUACCACCCUAGAGUGCUGUAGAUUUUAAUAAAAAAAACAAGGAAAUCGACUGUGAAAAGAGACUUGUAUUACUGAAGAACGUUCCAAUUACAGCAGCAAAGAAAACAGAAUCGAAUUUAAAGAUGACCGUUAGAGGUCGUAUGACAACCACCCUUACUGAAAUAUCUUUUUUGCAUGCCCUUCUAUUCUCAACGCUUUUUCUAUUUAUAGACUACUACUAACCGAAUUGCCUCCUCACUCUUUACUCCUAACAGAAUUUGUUAUUUGUUACUGCCCCU
rnacentral:lncRNA from 1 species